ACCAAGAUGGCCGAGUGGUUUAAGGCGGUGCAUUUAAGCUAUUUUUAGCACUGAACUGCACUAUCGAAAGAUGCCUGGGUUCGAACCCCAGUCUUGGUA